UUAUUUAUUAUAUGCCUCUAAUUUAUUUUCUGACAUUUCUCUAUCUAUAAAAACACACACAUAUUCACACACACGUGUACAUCGAUGUUCUGAUUCUACUCUUUUGCUUGGAAGUGUUGUUUUGCCCAGAAUAAUCUAGUUCAUCCUUUCCACCUUUCUAAAUCUCAUCCAUUCUUCAAAAUACUACAUAAAUCCUGCCUGUACUAUAAAUCUUCUCUGACCACCAUAGCAUGAAAUCCUUUAUCCUUCCUUUGGAUAUCUUUAGUCUUUAAUAGUUGUGUCAUUAGUUUAUUAAAUAUGUACUUCUUGAUUGUUCUUGGAAUAUUAUACUGCUUAAAUAUUUAUAUUUAUCUUUUACAUACAAGCAAGUAAAUUGUAAACUCAUUGAGAACAAAAUGCUUCCUGAGCCAAUUUUUAUUAAUUUGCUCUCUAAUUGCCUUUAUUUAAAAACUAGCAAAUGAAAUAGAAACAAGCAAUAAAGUCCACACUGCCAUAUCUUACAUUUUAUAUGAGAAAGUUAUAAUAUUUAAAAUAAAUAUAUUUAUUAUAAAAAUAUUGAGCAUAGAUUUAAUUAUUCCAUGUUGGCAUGUGUGUAUGGAUGUAUACAUGUUUGUAUAUAUAGAGAGACUUUAUUACUUAAUCCUGAUUGCCCUGCUAUAGCUUUUCAAAAUUCAUUGUACUGCAUCUUUUCACCACUGACAAUAAUUUGAAAAGGUGAGUGACUGCCGUUAUAGUCCCUGUUUGUUUAGGAGGAAACUGGUACUCAGCGAAUUAUGAUUUGACAACAGAAAUUUGAUCAUUAUCACUUAAUUGGUUAGGAGGGUACCCAAAUUGGAGUCUAGGUGUCUUCUAAUCUCAAAAUAUCUGAGGUGAAAGACAAGCUUCCCACUCACCCCUAAUAUGUUGCCAACCAUUAUGUUUAGUAAUAUAGUACCAUUGAAUUACUAGAAAAUGAAAAACAAAAAGCUAAACAAAACUCAAGUCCAAAUUUGUUAUGAUUAUAUUCAACAGCCAUCAAAUUACUUUAGCAAAUAGCUAUAAGAGUUCCUAAAUUGUUAUCCUCAAUGUGUUUAUCAUUUUGGAUGGAUAAGAAAUAGCACAUGGAAUAGCUCCAAUCCUUGGACCACACUUAGAGUAUUGCCUGUCAACCAUGACAUAUCCUUUCUAAGAGAAUCAUCCUCAUCCAGAACAUCUGCCAUCUAAGUUGCCAUUUUUACUCACAAAGGACCUAACCCUAACUCAACCCAAACACUAAUGCUUUACAUUUAUAGCUGAUUGGACUGGACUGGGGCCAAAGGAUGGACUGGCCAGACAAUCUAUGAACUGUGUGGCUAGGCUGGAAAAGAUGAACUAGACUCAUCAGUUUUUAGUCUCUGGCUUUAGAUCUAAUAUGUGAAGAAUGCAUUUUCUAUGGCAUUCCAAGGUUUUGCAUAUGGUUAAAAUAUGAGCUAGCACAGACUCUGAGUAAUCUGUGAAAGCUGGAUUGCAUUGCGGCAGGGCGAAGAAAGGAAUAUGUGCAAUAGAGCUGAGUCAUAUUAAUGGUGGAUUGCUAAGGAUUAAAGAACUGCUGAUGUUGAAGUACACAAAGCUGCUAUAACUCUACAAUUACUUCAAUUCCAAAAACUCUUAGCCCCAGGCAGGAAACAGUAUUUUCUUUGAAUGUCCUAAGAUAUAGAUCCCAUACUUCUUGCAAUGUAUGUAUAUAUCCUAGCUGGCACAAAUGGGUCUCUGAAUUAUUCAAGAAGCUUAGUUUAACCAGAAAAUAGUUCCAGGCUUUUCCUAUUAUUUUUAAAAGUUUAUUUCAGAACCAAUAGACACAAUAUUUGAAAGACAAGUUAUUGGCAUCCACAUCUCUGCAGUGAGAUUGUAAACCAAACUGAGUUGGUCUAGUGGGAACUACCUGUUUGUUACUAAAAAGCUAUCCUAUAUACCUAUUUUAAUAUUUCUUUGUUUCCAAAUUACAAAAAAGAUUGAUUACAACAUUUUCCAUAGUUAAUUACAAUCUGAUUUUGCUCAAGGAGGAAAUCUCUUAAAAUCCAUACCAAAUUAUCUCCAUAAUGGAUGAGCUUCCACAAUUCACCUGCCCCCUGUAUGUUCUCUGAUUUGCAGAGCUCUUUGGAACCAAACCCCACUCUUUAAUGGACCAGACAUGUGCUUUUAGUUGUACUAACCCAGACACAUAUCGUGUGCUAAUGGCUUCUGGAAUCACCCCAGAAAUCAAAGGUGUAGGUAUGAGAUUGAGUCACAGUGAUUUUCAAACAUGUUUUAUUGCCUUGAUUCUUUCUUUUUAGUGAAAUUAUUCAAAUUGAUAUUAACUCCUUAGCUAUAUGUUAAAAUAGCUUGCUUCAUAGUAAAAAGUAUCUUUUAGUACAAAAGUGGAAUCACAGCUUUCUUUUUUAUUCUCCAGUAAAUUCUAAAUUUUAAAUUUCUGCUAAAUUAAAUGAUUUGUGUCAGAUGUUAACAAUAUGGGGUCUUAGAUUAAAACAAGCUCCAUGUAAUUUUAUUGAAUCAGUAGGUAAACAGAAAUAAGAGAAAAUGUGUUUGAAUCAUGAAAGAGAAGGGAUAUUGGCUGGGUUCGUGAAAUAUUUUAUGUUGUAGUAUCAGCUGAUUGAUAGCUGAUUCUCAGAAGGGUUCCAAUAUUAUGCCUUUUAAAAACUGGAGAUUAGUGCAACCAUGGUGAACAACACAGUGACACUCUGGCAAAGAAAAAGGGUCAGGGCUGGCAAAAUGUGGCAGGUGUCAAAAUAAAAGGUUAGGCUCUGUGCCUGGGGACCCAUCUGUCAGAUGAAUGUAUGAUAAGGCAAUUAAUGUGUUUAUUUAUGUUGCUUAUGACAAACCAUGCAUUCCAUAAAAAUGAUCAAUUUAAACAUUCUCAAUGGUUCCCUAGAAAUAAAGUUAAUAUAAAAAUACAAUGCUUAAGAUAAAAAGCAAGGUCUAGUAAUGAAAUGAGCUGUUUACAUAACCAAAUAAAGUUAACUUUGGAGAAUUAUAGUCUGCAUUGAAGGAUAAAACUAUUAAAUAUAACAUCUUGACAAUAUAGGGGUUGUACUAACGACCUACAAAAUUGAUGUUUAUGUUGUGAAAUAAUUUGGGUGGUACUCCUCAUAAGUUCAGCAUGCUUUAUAUUCAUUAAGCUAAAUUUCAUAAUUUAAUAAUAAAAUGAAGCUCAGAAAAAGUACGAAAAAAAUAGAAACGUAUAUACCCAAGCUAUGUGUCUUGCAUUUUCUUUAAAUGUUUUGUUCACAACCUUGUCAUUAUUAGAGUUUUCAUUUUCACUUUAUGACUAAUCCUCACUCCUCUUUAAUUUAUUUAUUAUUUAUUUAGCUUUCUCACUACUUCUGCUUUACCAUCUGUUUAAUCUAGAAUAUGUUUAGAUUUAAUAUUCAUCGGUGUUACAUUUUCUUACAGAUAAAAUAAAUUAUCAUAAGCUUCUAAAAUGUCAUGUUAUUUUACAGGUCAAUAAAAAUCAAACCCAUAAUUAUAAGAGAAAUGGGAUUUACUACAAUCCAAAGUUUUAUGCAAAAACUGAUCCUCCUCAUAUUUUCCUCUGAAUAAAGAUAAAAAGCUCUCAAUUACCAUAUUUUAAUAAACGAAGCUCACACCUUAUAGUAACACCAAAAUUUGAAGAGAAAUAACGUGUAUAUCUACAGUGUAAUAUGCUACACAGAAGGAAAAUUCAAGUUCUAUAAUUGUAGGGGAAAAAAGCCAAUAUGACUAUGUUAUUGCCAAGUUGCACUUUCUGUCUGCUGAGUGAUGAAAUUUAACAAGUAAAGCCACUGGAAUAGUAAAUAGAAUCAUUUGGCUUUGGAAAGAACAGAGGUAUUAUGUUCAAUAGAUUUAUUUUAUUUAUGUUGAGGCAGCAUUUAUACCAUCAUCACCACUUUCCAUCUAUUAGAAGGAUAUUUAUUGGUUAAACUUUAAUUUUUUUUUCUCCCCAGGAUUCUCGUUUAGCCCCUAACAUUAUGAUAAUCUUAAACUGUCUUCUAUUUCCCACACAAAACUUGGCUUUCUCUAGUACAACAGGAAUGUCUGGGUAGGAGUUGAGGAAGGAAAAAUAAAUAAAAAGACAAAAACACAAACUUUGUUAUAUGUUCCAUUCAGUGGUCUGAUACAAGAUGUACAAAUUAUGUUUAAUGUUUAAUUAUAAUUAACCACUAUUUAAAAUCAAAUUAAUUUCUGGGUUCAUUUCCUGAUUCAGAGUUCCAUAUUGUUCCUAUUACUGGUUUUAUUUCAUUUGAGUCUGUCUUCUAAAUUAGCUCUGUUUCCUAUCUAUUUAUUUUCAUUUGCCUGAAUGUACUUGAAAACGUCAGGCAAAAAAAAAAAAAUUCUUACUCACUCUUUUGUACAAAUCUUCAAAACUCUAGGAAAUACUACAUAAUAAAAAUAAUAAUUUCAACAGAAAAUGAAGAUGCCACUCAAUUUUGCCAUGGAUCCAUAAUUAUGACACAUCAAACAAAAGAAGUAUAUGAGAAAAAUUUUGCUGAUGUCCACCUACUUCAAUUCAGAUAUAUGAAGAAAUUAUGAAAAUUCUAAUGAGUUUUAAAACUUUCCAUUUGCUCUGGCAUAGUGCAAACAUGUAUUGAUCUAUCACUACAGGUAUGCGUUCAUAUAUUUCCCCUGAACUAAUCAGAUAGAAAUUCAUAGUAAAUUGCAAAAUGGUUUUAUUUUUUUUUAAUCUUAAAACAUAUCAGAUUUGGCAAAAAAUAGGUUUUCCCAUUUGUCAUUCUUCCAAUCCAUAAUAAUGUUAAAUGGUAUUAAUGAGUACCUUAAUUAUUUUAACAAAGGAUGAAAAGUAUUAGUGUAAAAUCUGUUAUGUGAAGAAAGUACCCAAGUACAACUCCAUUUCAUGUUGUGAAAAAAUGCUAUCACCUUCAAAAGUUGAAUUGUUUCUAAAUUAUUAAGAUGUGCUCCCAUCAAUCAUCAAAUUAUGAUUUUCAUCAGCAUCAAACAAUGCUGGGUCUCAUCCAUUCUCAAGACAUCAUCCCUAACUCAAGCUUUCCAUAUUUAUUUUUUAUAUGGCACAUGGUUUUGUUUUACUUUAAUCGAUCAAUCACUCACAGAACAUGAGGUAAGUUCUAUAUUAUCCCCAUUUACAGAUGAGGAAACUCUGGUAUAGAAAGGGCAAAUUUUAAAAUGUGAACCCACCCUAUUUUAGUAGCAGGACUUCCUAUCCUUCUACUUACUUGCUCAAACCACAAUAUUGAAGAACCAAUGAAUAAAAGUGUGAAAGUUAUACUAAAAGGUAAGAAUAAAUAUAUAAAUAUGUGAUGAAAAUGAAAAAAAAAAAGCAGCAGCAGUCUGAAACAGCAGAAGAAUUUGUUGGGGGCUAAGUGUAAGGAUUUUAACAUGAAAUGUGACAACAAAAUAUGAAUAAGAACCAAUAAUAAGAAAAAUUGUGAAAGCUUAAGAUAAGGAUAGAAAGAGAAGGAAAAGGUAAUGAAAGAAAUAUGAAAGCUUUUCUUGGCCUCUAACAUAAAACAAUUUGCAUAAUUCUGAGAGAAUAUUUCUUGUAUUAAUUUCCAAAAUAGAAUAAAGACACAUCCAUGUUUCUGGAAUUAAAAACGUUACUGACAUUCAUCAUUUUUUUAUUUCUCAGGUAGAUAAUUUAUUAUAUUGGGAAGACAUUAUUGUAUGAUGGUUUAGACAGAGGAUGGGCUUUGUAGACAACUAGGAGCUCAAAUCCUGGCUCUCCUAUUUCCUAUUAUGUCUGUGAUCUUGGCAGUAAUGUGAGAGAGCCACAUCCUACUGGCUCAUGAUAGCUGAUUAUGUGCCUUUCUUCCCAACAUUGUGUUCAGAGACAUCACUUUGGUAGUUUAGAAUCAGCCAAGAUGAAAUUGUUACACCUCCCAAAUUGGCAAACACUAAAUUAGACAAAUUAUUGUUUUAUUCCCCAUGUGCCAGCUUACCAGAGCACCACUGGACCUUAGACAAGUUCCCUAAAGUUUAUGCUCUUUUUUUUUUUUUUUUCUGAAAAGGAAAAAUAGAUAUGACAGGUCCAUCUAGAAUUCUGCAUACCUUCCAGUGGAUGAUAAUUUCACAUGAUUUCUGGUACAUAGAUAAUGGUAGCACUGUAGUAUUUUAACUCAGCCUAUUAUAUAGAACAUCAAACAAUUUUGCAUUUCUAACACACUAGAAAGCAUUUCAAUUAGUUCAUCAAAAUUCCAGGAGAGAAGGACUAGUAAAAAAUAUUUUACUGACUUCACAGAUGAAAUGGUUUCUCCUAAAUAUUAUUAGGUUUUUAUAAAGAAGAUAAACACUUACUUGUAUAAUAAAUUUCUUCUGUAUUAUUAGUUUAGAAAAACUUCUGUGUUUCCUAUAGCAACUCAUAUAUGUAGAAGCCCAAGGGCAUCUCUUGGGGUUUUAACCUGCCCCUCCAAAUUAGAUUAAAUUCAUAGCUUCAGCUCUUCAAAACUUCUUGAUAAGUUAACAUGAGAACUGAUGCUGUCUAUACACCCCACUGUUCAGAAAGUUCUAAUAGAAAAUUCUGAGCCAGAGGCCACUUUGUCUGUCAUGAUGACAGACAGUAGGUAUAACUUGAAACUUUAAAGGUAAGCACUGUAGGAAAUAAGGAAUUUAAGGAAAGAUUAAACAGUCUAGAGAUAACCCUGCUUGGUUGCCUGCUUAAAAACUCUCUCAUCUAGGUUCUUCAAUAUGGAUUAUUUUUAAGAUUCUUGUUUCAUUUCUUGCCUUGGAGUAUAAUUCUUUGUAAUAUUUAAAAAUGUUAUACAUACGCAUUUUCUUCUGUAGUUUACAAAGUACAAAAGUCACUUUAUUGUUAAAAAUGUUUUUGGAAAGCAUUUAAGUAAUUUUGUAGUAAGGAAAGGAAACUACCAAAAUUAAAUCGAAUGACAAGUUCUUUAUUACUUCAAAGAGUUAGUUUGUGGUAGAUGUUUACAAAGAUAACAGAAAAAAUUUCUUUUAUUCCUGUAUGCAUAUACCUUUGCAAUAUGAUGUUACUAUUCCUCUCAUCAAGAGCUAAAGUUUAUUUCUCUUCCUCUUCAAUUUGGGCUUUCCCAAGUGACUUGCUUUGGCCAACAUGACAUUAGCAAAUCUGAUGAGAGCAGAGGUUUGACAAUCACACGCACAUUAGGAUUUCCUGUUUUUGCUGCUCUGAAAAUGCCACGUAAAGAAGCUUGAGCUAGCCACUGGGAAGAGAGACCACAUCGAGUGGAGAUGAACCCUACCAGCUGAGGUCCCCUGGACUAACCACCAGACACGUGAGCAAGGCCAUUCUAGACCAUUCAGCCUUACAUGACCUUUCCACUAGCCGAAGAACCAAUUUAUCACCUACAGACUCAUGAGCAAAAAUAAAAUAAUCAUUGUUUUAAGCCAAAGGGAGGCAAUCUAUAGUCCAUGGACCAAGUCCAGAUCACUACAUGUUUUUGUUUAAGGUUUUUUCGCAGUACAGUGCCAGAGUUGAAUAGUUGCAACAGACACCAUAUGGCUUACAAAGCCUAAAAUAUUUACUGUCUCCCCCUUUACAGAAGAAGUUUGCUGACCCGUUUUAAGCCACUAAGAUUUGAAGUGGUUUGUUAGGCAGCAAUAGAUAAAUGACACAGACUCAUUUUCCCAAAAGGAAUGUGUUUCAUUUCUUAUUAAACUAAUAAAUUCCUAUGCUAAUUUAAAAAAAAAGUGAUUUUUUUUUUCAGAGCCAAUAAUCUCUUCUAUGGCAAAAUCAUUACUAUUCAGUUUGUAUUUUUCCAUGGGUCAUAAACUCCAGGGGUACUUUGAUAAACAGUUUGUUUUUCUCUUGGGUCACAAACUCUAGGAGUUCUUUGAUAAAAAGUACGGUUAUGGAGACCGCUAGGUUAUUACACAAUAUGUGUUCUUCCCUUUUUUCAUAGUAACACAGUUUGAAAUAGCCACCCAGUUAGGGAUUGAUUUCUGAGCCCCUGUGUCAGUUACGUGUAAUCACAAGAUUAGCUUUUCACUUUUAGAAUAUGAACGGAAAUGAUGCAUGCAUUUCUUGUGCUGUCUCCAUGCUCUUCUUCCCCUUCCCAGUAACAGGAACAUGUAGCAACCUGACUUAGCAUUCAGGGAAGUACAAUGUCCUAGAGAAAGGAGGAGCACACAAUGAAAAAAGUCUUGGUCACUUAAAAACUGUGUGGAGCAGAGUCUGUCUCCUCCCUCCACGCCCACCCACCCUAAUACACUCAUCUUGGACUGCUGAUAGUGAAAUGAACUUCAAUCUUCCUUAAGCCACUGAAUUAUCAUUGGGUGUCAUUUUUAUAGCAGGCUAGUCUUGUCCUAAUUAAUGCAGUAGUUUUAUGCAAUAUACUUUGGCACCAAAAAGAUUUAGUUGGCAAUACACUGGAUAUUGGGGCACAAACUCCAGGGGUACUUUGAUAAACUUUGCCCCAAUUUUCUGAGUUGGCCAGAGGCUAGUCACUUACAGUAACUGUGAUUUUCUCUCUCUAGAUAAAAAUAUACAACUCCAGAUAGGCGAAGCAGGAAUUUUGAACACUGACCUUUCUAAUUCCUACUUCUCCCAAGUAAGAGGGCUGCAAUAACUGGUGAUUGCCCUAGGCAUGUGUCAUUUAGUCCGAAGAAAUGCUUAUAUACCAACAUUAUGCCUUAGGUAAUAUAAUGGGGAAAUAAUCAAGGUGAAGUUUUGGCAUUUGGACAGCUAGGGAUAGUUUUCCCUUGAAAGGACAAAUAUACUCCAUUUUGAGGCAAUUAGAAGAAAGUUGGGGGAGAGGGUUUUAGUUACAUCCUGAAUAUACAUUCAACGAUUUCAGCCAAUAAGUCUCAAACUUUAGUGUGUAUGAGGGGAAUUUGUUAAGCAUGCAAAUUUGAGUACUGUUUGUAUGCCCCCCGAGAUUAUAUGUCAGUAGAUCUAGGGUGGAUCCUUAUAAUCUCAAAGUUAAAUACUACUCUAUGUUAUUCUAAGAUAGUGACCCUUCUUUAAGAAACCACAGCCACAACAGAAAUUAAAUUUAGAUAUUAAGACUCGGUUCCAGGAAAUGCUGAAAUCUAGAUGGGGCAAAUAAAUCUUGGAGCAAAGAACUUAAAUCAAAGUUUCCAAACAAGAUGCUUCUAGUUUUUAAAAUAUUCUUUUAAGAACAAUGUUACUGAAAAAUAAAUGAACAACUCCUAAACAUAUUUGUGCAAAUGAAAUCAGCCUAUUUUGCCUGUGAACUUCCUCCUCAGCCUUCAGUGUCCAGUUUAAAAGUAACUUCCUUUGGAAAUUAUAUUAGGUGUUCCUGUUAUGUGCUCUCAUCAUACUCCAUAAUUUCUGGUUCAGAGAAAGUAACAUGUUGAGUUUAGUUACCUAAUUGUCUGUCUUCCCUAUCGAAUUAUUAAUAAAUGCUCUAUAAGAAAAGAAAUUGUGUCUUUCUUGCUCAACAAUGUAUCCCCAGAGCAUAUUAGGGUGCCAGGAAAACACCAGGUACUUAGCAAACAUUUGUUCAAGGAAUGAAUCUCUGAAAUGGAAAACACCUGGUUGAAUUUGCCAAUAUAGGAAAUGGGCAUGAACGGUAAUGAGACCAAGCAGAAACUGCCUAAAGGAUGUGUUUAUAUCAAGCAGAUAAUUACUUCAGCAAUAUAGACCCAGAAAAGUAUUCAGAAGAUACUGUUAGGCCAUGUCCCCUUAUAGGCAUUUUACUUUGGAAGAAGGAACAGAAGUGGUAGAUUUUAGAACAGGGCCAAGGUUUGGAGAUCAAGACCCUUAUUCAGACCAAUCUCCCUGCAGGGACCAUGCAUAGUUUUGGGGAAGGGACUUUGAACCACUUUUAUUUUCUCUUCUGUAAUAAAAUUACUGUGCUUAUUUCUCUAUUUUAUUAAAUAUUCUUUUGGAUAACAUUGAGGAUGGGGUGCUUGUGAGUAGCAGAGUUGGUAUUUAGAUUUCUCAGCUAUCACAGAAAUAAUUCUCCCAGGUAUUAAAGACCAAACUCAAGCAAGUAAAAGUGCAACUGACUUAAACAUAAUCUAUCUCACUGUGAUUAUGUUUCUGAUAGUUAUGAAAAUUGAGGUAAAUAUGUUAAUUGCCUGCUUUAAAAUCUGGAUUUGGAGGUUCUAUGUAUUCCAACAGUAAAAGAGAAAAAAACAAGAACAAUAACACAUUAGAGGAGAAAAUAGAAAGAUCUUCUGAAAAAUAUUCAAAUGCAGGUUGCAAAGAAUGAGAGCUGGUCCUAACAAGCAGCUAACCAGCUGCAUGAACUGGGAAAAGUCACUCUACCUCUCUCUAUCUGGAUCUUAUUAGUAAAAUUAGGGGGCAGGAUGAAAUAAUUUAUAAGGUUGCUAUUAGCUUUAAAAUUUUUAUGAGUUCAGAGCCUUUAAAAACAUGGUGUCUUCAGCAGAAAACGCCACUGUGAUUUUUUUUUCAAUAUUCCUUUUACCUAUAAUGGAAACAAGUUAAAAAUAAUAGGCUUAAUGUUCACAAAUCCAUUAAAUAUUUACUGGUCACUCUCUUGAUGAUCAUUUUGAUUUAAUACAUGGUAUAUAUAAAUCAUCAAUAUUUUCAAAUUCAAAAAUGCACAGGAAGGAAUUUUAUAGCUUCUGUGAUGGCUUUGAACUAAAGUGUGAUUUACCUCCUUGUUUGUGUAAGUGUUUUUAUGCUUAUCAUUUGUCAGUAAGCCUAAGAAUCUAAGUACAAUAUUAUAUAUGCAUGCUAAGUGCUUAGUUUAUCAUUAUAAUUUUCCUCUUGAAUUGCAAAUUGUGUAAUGCAGAUAACUUAACUUUUCUAGAGUUCCCCUGUUUAUUUUUAAAAUGUUGCUGUCCAGGUAACAACAACAACAAAAAAAGAACUUCUCCAAGCCAUGUGGUAUGCUAAUACUGAAAAUGAGUGUUAUUUCCCUUGAGGGAAAGGUAAUUAAAGAUACAGGGGAUAUAUGCAUAGAAUAAUGACAUUUGCUAAACAUAAAUAAUGAGAUAAUACUGUUUUAUAAUUCUGUAAUUUUUUCUUAUUUUACUUAAUUCUAUGUCCUUGCUAGUAUUUUUGCUUUUUUUCAUUAAAAAGUCAUCAUUUAUUUUUCUUCUUAACUACACAUUGCCAUCUUCACUUUUUGUAAUACUCCCAAAUAUUCAUAGAAUGGUUCUCUGUACUAGAUGUCAUACAGUAAAUAUUUGUUGGUUGAUUAACCUUUUUCAUGCUGCUUCCAAUGCCUCCUUCCCAUCUUUGAUAAUGACACAUACUGUCAGUUACUUAUUUUAAUCACCCUUGCACCCCCACUUCUGUGAAUGGACAUGUGAUGCAAUUGUGGUCACUGAAACAUGAGACAACACCUCCUCAGAAGAUUUUUCCAUAUUCUUCAGACAAACAGAAGAGAUGCCUUUUCAUCUAACCUUUGAACAAUCUUGUAUGAAGCUACUUGAAGUUGCUGUAGUCAUCUUGCAAGACUAAGGAGCGUAACAGACAUGCUGAGGAUAGCCUAAAAGAGAGAUUGUAGAAACCUUUAGGUUUUUAGUGAAAUUCAUGAGCUUCUGAAUUAAUCCACUCUAUACAACCCCACCUCUACAAAAGAAUUCUUGACAUGUGGCAUAAUAAAAUUUCCUUAUUGUUUAA